GAUGAACGCUGGCGGCGUGCCUAAUACAUGCAAGUCGAGCGAACAGACGAGGAGCUUGCUCCUCUGACGUUAGCGGCGGACGUGUGAGUAACACGUGGAUAACCUACCUAUAAGACUGGGAUAACUUCGGGAAACCGGAGCUAAUACCGGAUAAUAUAUUGAACCGCAUGGUUCAAUAGUGAAAGACGGUUUUGCUGUCCCUUCUCGAUGGAUCCGCGCCGCAUUAGCUAGUUGGUAAGGUAACGGCUUACCAAGGCGACGAUGCGUAGCCGACCUGAGAGGGGGAUGGGCCACCCCAGAACUGGAACGCGGUCCAGACUCCUACGGGAGGCAGCAGUAGGGAAUCUUCCGCAAUGGGCGAAAGCCUGACGGAGCAACGCCGCGUGAGUGAUGAAGGUCUUCUGAUCGUAAAACUCUGUUAUUAGGGAAGAACAAAUGUGUAAGUAACUAUGCACGUCUUGACGGUACCUAAUCAGAAAGCCACGGCUAACUACGUG
rnacentral:rRNA from 1 species